rnacentral:misc_RNA from 1 species
GAUGAAGAACGUAGCGAAAUGCGAUAAGUAAUGUGAAUUGCAGAAUUCCGUGAAUCAUCGAAUCUUUGAACGCACAUUGCGCCCCCUGGCAUUCCGGGGGGCAUGCCUGUCCGGGCGUCAUUUCUGCCCUCCAGCCCGGCUGGGUGUUGGGCGCUGUCCCCCCGGGGACACGCCCCAAAGGCAGUGGCGGCGCCGCGUCGGGUCCUCGAGCGUAUGGGGCUUUGUCACCCGCUCGGGACGGACUCGUCGGCGCUGGUCUUCCUCCAGGCGACCCUUCGGGGCUCGUCUUCCUUCGGUUGACCUCGGAUCAGGUAGGGUUACCCGCUGAACUUAAGCAUAUCAAUAAGCGGAGGA